AGGGUAAUAGCUCAAGUGGUAGAGCUCACGCUUAGCAUGCAUGGGAUCCUGAGUUCAAUCCCCAGUACCUCUU
rnacentral:tRNA from 1 species